rnacentral:rRNA from 1 species
GGCGGCGUGCUUAACACAUGCAAGUCGAGCGGAAAGGCCCCUUCGGGGGUACUCGAGCGGCGAACGGGUGAGUAACACGUGAGCAACCUGCCCCUGACUCUGGGAUAAGCCCGGGAAACUGGGUCUAAUACCGGAUAUCAUCACUCCGGGCAUCUGGUGGUGGUGGAAAGUUUUUCGGUUGGGGAUGGGCUCGCGGCCUAUCAGCUUGUUGGUGGGGUGAUGGCCUACCAAGGCGACGACCGGUAACCGGCCUGAGAGGGCGACCGGUCACACUGGGACUGAGACACGGCCCAGACUCCUACGGGAGGCAGCAGUGGGGAAUAUUGCGCAAUGGGCGGAAGCCUGACGCAGCGACGCCGCGUGGGGGAUGACGGCCUUCGGGUUGUAAACCUCUUUCAGCAGGGACGAAGCUAACGUGACGGUACCUGCAGAAGAAGCGCCGGCUAACUACGUGCCAGCAGCCGCGGUAAUACGUAGGGCGCAAGCGUUGUCCGGAAUUAUUGGGCGUAAAGAGCUCGUAGGCGGUUUGUCGCGUCUGUCGUGAAAGCCCACGGCUUAACCGUGGGUCUGCGGUCGAUACGGGCAGAGUAGAGGCAGGUAGGGGAGAAUGGAAUUCCCGGUGUAGCGGUGAAAUGCGCAGAUAUCGGGAGGAACACCGGUGGCGAAGGCGGUUCUCUGGGCCUGUACUGACGCUGAGGAGCGAAAGCGUGGGGAGCGAACAGGAUUAGAUACCCUGGUAGUCCACGCCGUAAACGUUGGGCGAUAGGUGUGGGGUCCUUCCACGGAUUCCGCGCCGCAGCUAACGCAUUAAGCGCCCCGCCUGGGGAGUACGGCCGC